AGUGGCGAACGGGUGAGUAAUGCAUCGGAACGUACCGUGUAGUGGGGGAUAACGUAGCGAAAGUUACGCUAAUACCGCAUACGCCCUGAGGGGGAAAGUGGGGGACCGCAAGGCCUCACGCUAUAUGAGCGGCCGAUGUCGGAUUAGCUAGUUGGUAGGGUAAAGGCCUACCAAGGCGACGAUCCGUAGCGGGUCUGAGAGGAUGAUCCGCCACACUGGGACUGAGACACGGCCCAGACUCCUACGGGAGGCAGCAGUGGGGAAUUUUGGACAAUGGGCGCAAGCCUGAUCCAGCCAUGCCGCGUGAGUGAAGAAGGCCUUCGGGUUGUAAAGCUCUUUCAGACGGAAAGAAAUCUCUCGGGAUAACACCCUGGGAGGAUGACGGUACCGUAAGAAGAAGCACCGGCUAACUACGUGCCAGCAGCCGCGGUAAUACGUAGGGUGCGAGCGUUAAUCGGAAUUACUGGGCGUAAAGCGUGCGCAGGCGGUGAUGUAAGACAGAUGUGAAAUCCCCGGGCUCAACCUGGGAACUGCGUUUGUGACUGCAUCACUCGAGUACGGCAGAGGGAGGUGGAAUUCCGCGUGUAGCAGUGAAAUGCGUAGAUAUGCGGAGGAACACCGAUGGCGAACGCAGCCUCCUGGGCCAGUACUGACGCUCAUGCACGAAAGCGUGGG
rnacentral:rRNA from 1 species